rnacentral:lncRNA from 1 species
GCAUACAACAGAAGCCCUUCUGUUGGUUGGGAAGAUAGGGAGAGAUAGAGAGGGUUCGAAGGAGGAGGCUAGACCUCUGUGUUCGCGGCGGUGGUCGGAGUUCAAAUUAAGGAGGUGGCCAGCAUGAAGGAGAUGGAUCUGAGGGGAUCUGGGGCUCUUCCGAAGUGGAUCACUCCAUAUGCUUCAAAUUAAGGUAUGACUCCAUAUGCUUCAAAUUUCAAUCAUUUUCAUUUGAUUAUUUUUCUAUCAGCAUCACAUAAUUCUUUUGAUUGCAGCAGCAGUGCACAAGUGUGUCACCCUAAAGGUGAUUCACAAGUGUCGGGAUGUCGGUGAGGUGUUCCUAUGGGCAAAAACGAGGCAAGCCUUCAAAUUUUGUUGAACAGAGAUGUGAGUGAAUAGUUUUUAAGGUCUAAUAUGAGUUCUUGGUUGUUGACUUCUUUUAGUGAUUAUUUGGUAUCUAUUCUUUUAAUUAGUUACUUGAUUAUGUUGUGUCUCAUGCACCUUUUAAUGUUUAUGACUAUUUUUUUUCAGAAUGAUCAGAAGGACUCUCUGCAGUUUGGAGAGCUGGAAUGACUUGCAGAUGUUGGCUCAC